GAGGGUAUAGAUCAAGUGGUAGAGCGCAUGCUUAGCGUGUAUAAGGUCCUGGGUUCAAGUCCCAGUACCUCCU
rfam:Camelus ferus unplaced genomic scaffold scaffold1683, whole genome shotgun sequence.